GUGGCAGCAAUCGAUUUUGGUGAGGGAUAUGGGGACCGUCCCCACCCAAUUUUUUUCCGCUGCGUCGCUUCGCGCUGCGCUCCCGCAAAGACCGCCCGCGCUCUCCGGUUCCAUUUACUCCGACGACGGCGCGCGGAUCCAGGGUUCGAGAUAGACGGUAGCUGCAGCGCCUGCUCCGCCGUCGGCGUCGGUUCUGAUGGUAGCGGCUCCUCCAGGGGCAGCGGCCGCAGCAGGAAUCCUCAUCGCCAGACAGUCCAGAAUGUUAUCAUAUUGACGAACAAAGUCUUGUUUGAAAAUCUCAAUUUUGGAGCCACAAAAGGUGAGCUAUUGCAAAGUACAUGUACCUGCAGAUUUUAGUAGCUAUUGCGAAGUGCUUAAAUAUGGUUUUGUGUUGUAUAUUACAAGGUCUGACAAAAUCUAUGACAUUUCUUUUGGGAUAGUUAAAGUACAGAUUUGUAGGUGCAAUUAUUACUAGUGAAUAGCUGUAAUUUGCAAAUGUAGGUGCUGCUAGCACUUUAAUUUUUGUGGUUUCUUAGUGCUUCUUCUAAUGAAUAGGUGCUGCUAGCACUUCUAUUUGAUCGCACAUCCUCUAAUUCCAAGCUAGGUUAGCAACUUAACGUUUUUUUAACUAAAUACCAUUCUGGUCCAGUUUAUUUUUAAGUCACUGAAUACUGUUUUGUUCACUGAAUGCUGAAUACUGUUCUAUUCACGUAUCCUCUAAUUUCUAGUCUUCUGGAGCUGAUUGAGAUGGCUUGGACAUUGUCCCAUUUGAACAUUCAGUUAGGCACUGACAACACUGCUCUAUGAAGUCCUAGCUUAUCUGGAUUGUUUGGGGAUAAUUGCUUUACUGUAUAGCCAUACUCCUGUUGUCAUGCAUGUGUCUCAUCAAGAUUCAAAAUUUUAAUAAUGAAAGUUCAGUCAAGGUCUGCAAUUGUGAAAGCUUUUGAUCCAUUAUGAGUCACUGAAUAUUGUUUAUCUUACUGAACCUUACUGAACCAGUAUCACUGAUUUUUUAUUUAUUUUGUUAUCAUGCAUUAUUUCACUUUCAGUUUUGCCAUUGGGUGAUCGCCUAGUUGCUCAUCAGAUGUGAUGUUAGUCUAUUCUCACUGCUAGUCUAUUCAUGGGGAGUAUUUUGUUUGGACAAUUUUUGUACUGAUAUGGAUUCUGGAAGAUUGUACUUUAUUGGGCAACAUGGGUUGGGGAGCUCAGGCUGCAUGUUGUGUUUGUACUGAGCCAGACAUUAUGCUUGGGUAUUAAUUUUCUACUGAUAUGGAAUUGCCAAUUUGAACAUGUGUACAUCAUUUUGUUAUUUGCAAUUGGAACUGAACAUGUGUUCUGAACAUCACAUCUGCACGUUCUGCAAUUGGAAGAUGGGAGCUCAUGUUCUGGAGGCCAUCGGUGAUUAACCCUUGGUUCCAAAACUCUCUCGUUACCAAAUACCAAAAACAGUAGUGCCAGUGAUUGAUUAACCAGAUCUGGGUUGGUGGGGAUGGUUUAUCCUCUGCGGUUGCAAAACGAAGCCUUACAUGAAAUCUGAUACCGGGUCUAUUCAAGUCUAUUCAAGCCUUACUUGACUGGCUCUCAUAACGCUUGUCUUCCUCAACAAACCCUUUGCUUGAACAGCACCACCGCCGCCCACCCCUCUGCUUGCCCAGCUAGAGCAGGUUUCCCUAAAUGUCGUGGAUCCCCAUCGUCGGCAAGGCCUCAUUGAUAUGUCCAGCCCCUCUCCCACCCCUCGAUCUGUCUACCUUGCCAUGGCGGUGCUGCGGAUGGAGGUCAUUGUGGCGGCCAUCGUGACCUUUAAGGCAGUGUCAAGGGGACUUGGCUUAAGGAGUGGUGACUGGUGAAGGGUUCACCGGAGGUAGUUGUACGAGGAGCUCGGUCCAUGUCAGAUGUUCAUGAUUAACAUAAUGCUUCCAUGAGAUUUGAUACCGUGGCUGGACCAAACAAUCGCUACUUUCCACCAUUCCCUUCACAUUUACGAAGUGAUUUAUUAACAUUUACGUUAGCGUUUGCAGUGCUCCAACCAAACACGAUCUGAGCCACUGUGAAUUAGGUUCCCCCUUUCCGUUCUUUGAGCUCAUCGCCGGCCACUUGGGAUGGCCGCAUCACCAGAGAGUGUCGAGGUGUUGGAGCCGCAGCCGCUGGAGGUGAUAUUGCCUGAGGUGAAUGCUAAGAAGUGCAACCCGGUGCCCAAAGUCCGGGUUGUUGGCUGCCGGAUCUACGAUCCAGAUAAUGGCAAGACCUGCCACCAGUGCCGCCAAAAGACAAUGGACUUCGCGGCAGCAUGCAAGCAGGUCAAGAAGAAGGGCCCGUGCCCAAUCAAGUACUGCCGCAAAUGCCUCCUCAACAGGUACGGUGAGAAUGCUGAAGAGGCGGAAGGGAAGGAGGACUGGAUCUGCCCCAAGUGCAGGGGUAUAUGUAACUGCAGCUUCUGCAGAAAGAAGAAGGGUGAGAUGCCAACAGGAAUAAUGGCCCACAUUGCCAAGGCUUCAGGGUGUACCUCUGUCCAUGAUCUCCUUGAAAAGGGGUCAGACAUGGUGGCUGCUACACAAGCGAUACUCAAGAUGAAUGGUAGUGACAAGGGCACAAAGAGGUCCCGAGAGACAGAUGCUGCUGAUAAGGUGGCUGCUAAACGGGAUGAAAGUGUAGGCAUUGAUCUCAAUACAGUUCCAGGAGGUGAAGGGGAUGAAAAUAUAGGCGUUGAUCUCAAUGCACGUCCCCCUGUCUGUAUCAAGAAAAGGAGGAAGCUCCAGCACGGUGUAAAGAAGAAUCCUGCUGAUGAAAGGAAUGAGAGCCCUGAUGUUCUCCAUAAUAACAUUGCACUACCCAGGGGUACUCCGGUCACUAACAUUGCAGGUGCACAGCUUGACAAUGAGGAUAUUGGGGCUGCAAUUCAGUUUCUAGAAUUCUGCCGCGCAUUCGCAGAGGUAGUCAAAGUCAAUAAAUAAAUGGUGCAUGCCUUGUUUUCAUAACAUCUGGAUUGCAUAUGCAAAACAUAAUGGUCAGAUUUGGGUUCAGAUAUCUGAAAGUUUGAGUAUUGCCAUGAUUUGAUGUCCUGUGAACUCUUUAGCUGCUUUGCAUGUACACCUUUCGCUGCUAACCACAAUCAUAGUUAAACAUUAGAGUUUUCUAGAAGUUAGGAAUUGAUGCACUAAGCAUGCCAUUGGUGUUUUGUGGGGAUGCAAACCAUAAAGGGAUAUUUGGAUCGGCAAGUGAUUAUGGACUUAUGGAGCUUGUGGAUGACGAUGCAAGAUGUGAGAGAGAAACAUCUGAACCUUUUUUUGAACUUACCCCUGAUCUUAAGGAGAUAGGGAGGUCUUUGUGCUGGAGUGUUGUUCCCGCAACCAGGGAUCACGUUAUGUUGCAUUGAGGCAUUGAUUCCUUGCCUCUAAAUUUGGUUCGGAAUAACUCAUGUGUAGAUUGUUGAAGUGCUGCUGUCAUGCAUAACUGACCAUGCUUAUUAGGCUUGAUUUCUUGCCAGAAGUGAGCAAUUCUAUUCAUAUUUUGACAUGUCGAUCUCAACUCCAUAUUAGGAGCUUUGCCCCUGAAUAGGGCAGAUGAGUAUUCCUGGUUUAAUAGGUCUCUCCAAGGUAGUGCACAUCCAGGCACAUGGCCAACCUAGAUAGAACUUGAACAUAUGUUGUUAGUUCAUGAAAGUGCCAAUAAUUAUUGUGUUAAAGGGUCUGAUUCUUGUUUUGGGUUUAGAUGCAUAGCUUUUUAGAUGUCCUUGUUUAAGUUCAUUUAAAAAAAACUUGGCUGGUGGGAAAAACAGACCCCAUGGUAUUAUAACUGAGAAGGAACGUCAACGAAGCCGGCAGAGAAAAUACCUGAACCCUAUCUUCACCCUAGCCCAGCCACUAUUUUUUUGGGUUGCCAGGAUUUGGAUAUCCUGUUUAAGUUCAUUAAUGAGGAAAAAGAAUGAACAAAAAAAAAUCUAUAUUUCUAUUUUUUGUAAUGCGUGCUAAUUUUUUGCUUUGAGAAUGCACUUUAAGUGUUUUAAUUUGGAAACACAUAGUUAUACAUAUAUGUAUAGAUAUUGGUGUUUCUAUUUUAAGUAUACUAUAUUUGCGGUGUGUUCAUGUAGUUCUGUGUGUAAUGUCUUCAUUCAAGUUUUUAAGUCACUAAACAUAGUGAUUCACAAAGAUGGAAUUUCCUCAAAGACAAGCCAUAGCUUUUAGUUCAUUUGAAAAUUGUUAUCGUUUACAAAAAUACACUAGGACAAGGUACAUAUUAGCACACAAUAAAUGGUGGAAGUGCCAAUACGUGAAAUGUAUAACAGAAUCUGAUUUUGAUUCUGUGCUAUUAUUUGCUUAAUUUCAAUCUUGGAUGCAUAAAUAUUCACGGAACAGGGGUUUCAAUGAGUCUUUUUAGAGGAUAAGGUAUAGUGGCAAAUUUGUGGCCUCGAUAUUCUGGUUCAUAUUUUUAAUAUGUCUGCAGCAUAGAUAUAUUUUGAUGCAAAUAUAAGAUAUUUGCGUUUUUUUAUGGUACAUUAAUUACUAGACGUUGAAGUUGAUGGAUGGAGGUCGUGCAUGUUCAUUCUUCCUUUUGUUCAUGUCAACAAUAGUUUGACAUUGCAUUAUGGAUAGGAGCGCUUGGAGACUAGCAAUCAACGUGCAUGAACCGUGACCUCUGUUUCUAUCUCUGUUUACCCCUAUCUCUACCUUCUGUCUUGUGUCUUUUUUGUGUUUCUCUUAUCCUUGUUUCUUUUGGGUUUCAUCUCUAGCCUACCUGAACUUGCUUGGGACAAAAGGCUAUGCUGUUGUUGUUUUUGUUGUCUUUUUUGUUGACAAACAUACGUGCUAGAACUUGUUCAUCCAUCUCAGAACUUAGAAGAAGGAAAGAGUACGAGGUAAAACAAGACUGAAAAUUGUCAAAUUAAGCUUAAACUGUAUUUGUACUGAUGAGUUGCUGCACGCAACUUUGUAGAUUUAGCUGGUUACUGUACCUCACCAAUUGUCUGCGGACACUAUAGCAAUCAUUACAUGGUGAGCUAGUGACUAAGAACCCUUAUCUGUAAUAGCAUCAGUAUACUGCAGUAUUAAAAUCACUAAUAAUAGUUGAGUAUUUUGGUAGCUGUGACCUGCUACACCAUGACAAGUUUUUGGCAAACAAUUCAAAGUAUAGUGACUUUUUUAGAACUGAUGUUAUUAUGAUUUUCUUUAUAGCAGGAGCAAUUCGACCUUAGUUUUAAUUAUUUUUCUGUAUGUAGGAAUAAUGCAGAGAUCAAACUUUUGUUACCUGAAAUGAAUAACCAAACAGAUACAUUUUAAUUCUUUCCAUUCAACAUUUCAAUUUGCUCUAUCAUGUAUACAUACUUUCAUGACACAUUAAAUUAUGUAAUAUAAUACAGAAAUGUUCUCAAACAGUUUUUCCAAAUAAGGAAAGAGCACCCAGAAAGAAUUCUUCAAGAUGUAGUUGGAGGUCGUGAACUUCGGUUGGUAUCCUCAGUUGUUGCUGAGUUUCACAUAAAAUUGUUAUCGGUCAUUCAAGAAGAAAAGGGGAAGAAGCCUCUGGCUUACACGAGAGAUGGAGAUGCAUGGGUAGUCGAUGUUGGCAAAUAUAUCAGUGAAUCAGCAUUUACAUCAAAAGAAUUGCCUCAUGACUGUUUAAAUCAGGGAGUAUCAGGAUAUAAAAACUUGAGCCCUUCUUGCAAGCUGCGUGUCCUGAAUUUUCUGUGUGAUGAGACCCUCUCUACUGACAAGUUGAGGAACUGGAUUGACAUGCAAAAUGAUGUUGCUGCUGAAGCAAUGAAUACUGCCAGAGAAAAAGUCCGCACCGCAAAAGAAAAGGAAAAAGAGCUAAAGGAAAGGCUAAAGGGCCACAUGGAUAAACCAAUACUUUCACCCAAUGAAACAGCAGCCCUUAACAGUGAAGAAAAUAAGGAUCUUAUUUCCCAAAUGAAGGAAGCACAGGAAGUCAAGCGUUCAGCCAUAAAUGAUAUGGCAGCAAUAGCAAAGCAGGGAGGCCUUUGGACCAAGCCUCUGAUGGUAGAAAAAGGGUUAGCGUACUGGAAGCUAGAUGGCUACUGUGAUAACACAGCAAUAUUACUUCAAGAGUAUGGUGAUGAUGAGUUACUGGCAAAUAAAGACAAGUGGUUUAUGUUUACUGAAGAUGAAGAGAAAUUAAUUGAAGAAUAUAUAGCAACAAGGUCCAGACGUCAGAUGCGAAAGUGUAUCCGGGUAUAAUGUAGUGAUUUCAGUCUCUGGCUUGUUCAAUUUGCUGUCAGUCACAAAAGUUCCUGGUAUGUAGGUACAAGGAACGUGGUACGUGGGACGUGGAUCGAUAAUUUUAAGUUCCCGGUUCUCCAAGGGGUAUACAUUUUUGGAACGUUUGGUUUGAUGUUGGGAUCACGAUCCCAGUGAAUUUGGGACGAUGUACCCGGAACGUAACUAUGGAACGAGGAUCGUGGGUAUAUUUAUUUGCUGCCAUUAUUUCACUAAAAGCCCAUUUGCAUUAGAGCGCUCUUCACAUUAGGUAUGUGACUCCACUAAAAAAACAUUAGGUGUGUGACGGGCUAUGGACGCUAUAGGGCCCAAAGAGCUGGUAUGGACUGGGCCUCUCUCUGAACAUGCGCAAGGGGCCGGCGGUUGCGGGACACUGGCUCUAAUCUCUUCCACUGUGUAUCUUCUUCCCCGACGCAUCUCUUGCUCACGCACACCUCAUGCUCCUGCGCCGGCGCCGUGUAUCUUUCUCAUAAGUUUUCUUGGUUCUUGUGUUGAAGCCGGCAAAGCCGGUUGUAAGCUAACAACCUGCUUUCUCUCUCUCUCCCCCUCUCUUCUCUUUCCAUCUCAUCAUUCAAUCUGCUCACAGUUUACUAUAAUACUUGCUCUUAUGUCGCCUUGUUGUCUUUAAAACACUGGUUAGCAGGUCCAGGUUUGUUAGCAGCUAUUGGGGGAAUCUUGCUAGUUUGAUAUUGGUUGUUAUUGUCGGCAAUUAUAAGCUGAGAGGAUCAUCGUGUCAGUGAGGCAUAGAUUGAGCACAAAUCGACUUCCGUGGGAGCGUGAGCAUUGCUUGCCAUCGUUCAUCUUCGUUUCCAGUACUAGCUUAUUGAAAAAAACAAGUUUGGUUCUCUUCACCAAUGUUUGGCCUCUUAGCCGAGGAACUGCCUAUAAACUAAAGGAGUUUCUAAAUGGAAAAUGAUGAGAACUAUUUUGCUCUUAGUGUCUGUUAUUUUACAAUUGUAAUGAUCUUUUCAGAAAACCUUAUGAAUAAACCAUUUGAUUUA